rnacentral:rRNA from 1 species
ACAUCAGCGGCGAACGGGUGAGUAACACGUGGGUGACUUGCCCCGAAGAUGGGGAUAACCUCGUGGAGGCGGGGGCUAAUACCCAAUGUGCUCGGUGAUUCGGUUCAUCGAGUAAAGCUCCGGCGCUUCGGGAGAGGCCUGCGGCCCAUCAGCUAGUUGGUAGGGUAACGGCCUACCAAGGCAGAGACGGGCAGGGGGCGUGAGAGCGCGGACCCCCACACUGGCACUGAGAUACGGGCCAGACUCCUACGGGAGGGGGCANUAAGGGAUAUUGCGCAAUGGACGAAGGUCAGACGCAGCGACGCCGCGUGGGCGAUGAAGGCCUUCGGGUUGUGAAGCCCUUUUGUGGGGGAAGAGAGAGAGGACGGUGCCCCAGGAGUGAGUCCCGGCUAGCUGCGUGCCAGCAGCCGCGGUAGGACGUAGGGGACAAGCGUGAUCCGGAUGCGCUGGGCGUGGGGAGCGUUGAGGCGGUUCCGGUGGUUGGGCGUGAGGGCUCGGGCUUGGCUCGGGAGAUGUCGUGCGGUACUGCGGGGCUUG